UCGCGGCUUAUCACUGGCAGUCCCCUUAGAGUGCCCAACUAAAUGAUGGCAACUAAGGGCGAGGGUUGCGCUCGUUGCGGGACUUAACCCAACACCUCACGGCACGAGCUGACGACAGCCAUGCAGCAUCUGUGCACGCUCCCUUGCGGGUCCUUCCGCUUUCGCGGUCGUACCACGUGCAUGUCAAGCCCUGGUAAGGUUCUUCGCGUUGCGUCGAAUUAAACCACAUGCUCCACCGCCUGUGCGGGCCCCCGUCAAUUCCUUUGAGUUUCAGCCUUGCGGCCGUACUCCCCAGGCGGGGCACUUAAUGCGUUAGCGACGACACUCAGGGGGUCGCUCCCCCAAGCAUCUAGUGCCCAUCGUUUACGGCGUGGACUAC
rnacentral:misc_RNA from 1 species